rnacentral:rRNA from 1 species
CCUACGGUGUGCAGCAGUGGGGAAUAUUGGGCAAUGGGCGCAAGCCUGACCCAGCAACGCCGCGUGAAGGAAGAAGGCUUUCGGGUUGUAAACUUCAUUUAAGAGGGAAGAGCAGAAGACGGUACCUCUUGAAUAAGCCACGGCUAACUACGUGCCAGCAGCCGCGGUAAUACGUAGGUGGCAGGCGUUGUCCGGAUUUACUGGGUGUAAAGGGCGUGUAGCCGGGCUGACAAGUCAGAUGUGAAAUUCCGGGGCGCAACCCCGGACCUGCAUUGGAAACUGUUGUGCUUGAGUAUCGGAGAGGCAGGCGGAAUGCCUAGUGUAGCGGUGACAUGCGUAGAUAUUAGGAGGAACACCAGUGGCGAAGGCGGCCUGCUGGACGACAACUGACGGUGAGGCGCGAAAGCGUGGGGAGCAAACAGGAUUAGAUACCCCUGUAGUC